CCCUGUUUGUUAUUGCUGAAUCUGGUUUGUGGGAUUUGGCCUUUCUCUGCUCCUCCUCUGUCUCUGCUGUUGCUGCUGCCAACGUCGAUACCAUGGCUAUUCUCGAACAGCUUAUGCGCUUUCUCUCAUUUUUCUGACGUUCACCAUUGCUGCAAUCAUUGGAUGCGUUGUUUUGUAUACUGGACAAGGGAAGUUCCAUACUAGCACAUCGAAUACAUUGGACUAUGUCAUGUGGCAAGCUAACACCAUUGUUGAGAGUCUUGGGAGUGUAUUGGAUUAUCUUGAAGCAGCUAAGCAUAUCAGAGUGGAUCAACUUUUUUUACCUCCUGAUGUUCAAAACAACAUCAACAAGGUUGAAACUGACAUUAAUACUGCUGCUCCAUGGGGUCAUCAAUUCGACUAGUUAAGUCAAUGCAGCCGGCUAUCAGCAAUCCGGCAUCUGCUGAUUCCAUUAUAAGCUCUAAAACUGAUCCAAAUCUUUGCUUUGCAACGCAUGCCCAUUCCAGCAUCUCAUUUUUUGGUCUUAGCGUGGAGAGUAGUGUUGCAGAUCAUCAAGACUGGUGCUUCUCCAAUGGUUCUCAUGGGAGAGCCGCCUCCAUUGUGUCCUGAAAGUUCAUUCCCUUCAACUAGUAGGAGCAGCGCUGUUUUGCGUUACAUGGAAAAGAAGAAGACACGCAAGUAAGCGUAGAGUUGUUUUUUUUUUGUUUUUACACCAUUUAGGUUAAAAAAAGAAAAGUAUAUUGUGUGGACCUAGGAAGCAUGGAUGUGUAUUUAAUUCACUUUCAAUUCUUUUUGAUUGUUUAGUUCUUUGGUUUAAUGGAAAUUAUAUUUUGAGGUUUGUGAUAGUUUCGAGGAAAGUGU